UACGGAGGGGGCGAGCGUUAUUCGGAAUUAUUGGGCGUAAAGCGCGCGCAGGCGGUCCUUUAAGUCUGAUGUGAAAGCCCACGGCUCAACCGUGGAGGGUCAUUGGAAACUGGGGGACUUGAGUGCAGAAGAGGAAAGCGGAAUUCCACGUGUAGCGGUGAAAUGCGUAGAGAUGUGGAGGAGCACCAGUGGCGAAGGCGGCUUUCUGGUCUGUAACUGACGCUGAGGCGCGAAAGCGUGGGGAGCAAACAGG
rnacentral:rRNA from 1 species